rnacentral:lncRNA from 1 species
UAAGCAGAGGUCGGAUGGGGACCUGUCAGGGAUGCAACAGCUGUGAUGGGGUUGGACUUGAUGAACCUAUGAUUCUCUGGUCUCUGGCUGCUCCUAGGCACAUAGAAUCAUAGAAUCAUAGAGUUGGGAGAGACCACAAGGGCCAUCGAGUCCAACCCCCUGCCAAGCAGGAAACACCAUCAGAGCACUCCUGACAUAUGGUUGUCAAGCCUCUGCUUAAAGACCUCCAAAGAAGGAGACUCCACCACACUCCUUGGCAGCAAAUUCCACUGUCGAACAGCUCUUACUGUCAGGAAGUUCUUCCUAAUGUUUAGGUGGAAUCUUCUUUCUUGUAGUUUGGAUCCAUUGCUCCGUGUCCGCUUCUCUGGAGCAGCAGAAAACAACCUUUCUCCCUCCUCUAUGUGACAUCCUUUUAUAUAUUUGAACAUGGCUAUCAUAUCACCCCUAAACCUCCUCUUCUCCAGGCUAAACAUGCCCAGCUCCCUUAGCCGUUCCUCAUAAGGCAUCGUUUCCAGGCCUUUGACCAUUUUGGUUGCCCUCCUCUGGACACGUUCCAGUUUGUCAGUGUCCUUCUUGAACUGUGGUGCCCAGAACUGGACACAGUACUCCAGGUGAGGUCUGACCAGAGCAGAAUACAGUGGCACUAUUACUUCCCUUGAUCUAGAUGCUAUACUCCUAUUGAUGCAGCCCAGAAUUGCAUUGGCUUUUUUAGCUGCCGCGUCACACUGUUGGCUCAUGUCAAGUUUGUGGUCAACCAAGACUCCUAGAUCCUUUUCAAAUGUACUGCUCUCAAGCCAGGUGUCACCCAUCUUGUAUGCCCCUCAGGGCUUGCCACAUCCAUCCUGCAAACAACGGUUGGCAUCCCACAAGAUUUCAUCAGUCCUCCAGUCACCUAUAAGUAGAGGGACCUCUCCUUCCCCUGGCAAUUGCUCUUCCACUUGGCUUCUGGUACCUCCAGGAUUCCCACCAACCUCCAGCCAUGAAGAUCUUCUGUCUCCUCUCUGUUGCCGUCCUCUUCUUGAUGCUGCUGGCUCCAGAUUUCACCAGAGCCCAAUUUAAUUGCCGGCCGAGAUGUCAAAGGCAGGGAGGGAUACUGCAACUUUUUAGGUGCCGCCCGCCCCUAAGGCUCCUAUUUCGGUGUACUCGUCAAGUGGUGUGUUGCCGUAGAGGUGAGUUAAAUCUAAUCUUAGUUUGUCUGGAAAAUAAGUCAGAGGUGUCUCCUGAUCCCACAUACAUGAGACUCA